CGUAAAAGAGUUAUUCUUGUAUUAACCACUAAGCUAAGCCGCAUGGACCAGAAUCAGAUACACAGUGGCCCGUUAAGCGGCUGACAUAAAAUGCAACCUAUAAUUAAAUGGGUUGAAAAUCUCAACUCAACCUGUUAAUUUUUGAUAAUCAUAUUAAUUGUUGGAAGUGCGUACCUGUUGUACGUCCACUUGCAUAAAGAGACAACACGGCCUGAAUAGCAACAUACAUUGCGGGACUAUUGAAAGUUUCAAACAUGAUUUGUGUCAUUUUUUCCCUAUUAGCUUUAGGGUUCAAAGGUGCUUCUGUGAGUAACACCGGGUGUUCUUCAGGGGCAACACGGAGCUCAUUGUAGAAAGUAUGAUGCCAAAUUUUCUCCAUAUCAUCCCAAUUGCUCACUAUUCCAUGCUCUAUUGGAUAUUUUAAUGUAAG
rnacentral:lncRNA from 1 species